UACGUAGGUGGCAAGCGUUGUCCGGAUUUACUGGGCGUAAAGAGCGCGCAGGCGGUCGUUCAAGUCGAGUGUGAAAGCCCCCCGGCUCAACUGGGGAGGGUCACUCGAUACUGAUCGACUCGAAGGCAGAAGAGGGAAGCGGAAUUCCCGGUGUAGUGGUGAAAUGCGUAGAUAUCGGGAGGAACACCAGUGGCGAAGGCGGCUUUCUGGUCUGCUCUUGACGCUGAGGCGCGAAAGCUAGGGUAGCAAACGGG
rnacentral:rRNA from 1 species